rnacentral:lncRNA from 1 species
GGUCUCCUUUGGGGGUCCCGCACAAAGUGCUGGGGUGUGCUGAAAGGGAGUAAAAAAGCGUCUCGGAAGUGCCGCUGUGUGCGGAGGGGUGCUGGCGGGACACGGCUCUGGUGGCUCCCGGACAGCACCCCCGAGCANNNNNNNNNNNNNNNNNNNNACCCCCGAGCACGCGCCCCAAGUCUCAUUGAUUUUAAUUGAUGAGCGUGCAAAGCUCGUUUCCUUCUCCUGGUUUUGGAUCCCUCAGGUCUCAGUCAUCCAAACCGUGCACAAGGAUUCUGUCUUUGUUUUUGUUUUCUGGUUUUUUCCCCCCUUAGAAUGCAGCAACCAAAGGACACGAACAUCCCAUCCUUUCAGAUAAAGGUUAAUUUCUGCCUGUGGAAAAUGCGGGGUAGGAGAGAAGACAGGAAAUCACCACGAGAAGGAUCUCCAGCCUUCCGCUUGGUGUGCCAGUGCAACAGGUUUAAAACUCAACAUUUCAUCUCCAGGCUGGUGGGAUCUCCGUGUUUUUCCUUCUCCAAGGAGGAGCAGCUCCACAAGGGACACACCGAGGGUGCUCGGUCUGGCUCUGGAGUCGGGAUGAAUUGUCCCCAGAGACCAGCAGGAACCACAGGCAUUAAAUUUGCCAGCUCUGAUCGCUGCAGGACUGAGAUAGUUCCUUCCCGCUGCACCUUCAAUGGGUUGUCCUGCUUCACGAUGAGAUAAGAGUUGCUUGGAGCCAGCAUAUUUUUAAUCUAGUCCUGCCUUGUGCCUGGCAAUUAAUAUUUAUUAAGGUCUGGACGGAGUGAUGGUAGUUUUUUUUUUCUUGAUGUGCAGAAGACAUGUUUGUUUAAUCUGCCACAGAAAAGAGUGGAAAUUAAGAUGAGCUUCAGAAAAGAGCUGGAAGCAAUUAGUUGUGUUAUUUUACUGCAACUUAAUUGCUGUAACAGUCAAGCUGACAAAGAAAACAUGGAUGCUAUAGCAGGGGUUUGCUGCUGGAUUUGAAAGGAGAAACAACUGCACUAAAAGGGACGUGUUAUGUUGUAAUUAACCUGUUUAUUAUUACUGAGCUGUACAUUUAAAAAAUCUGUUUAUUUAGGGUGCACUGGAGCAUGUGAUACAUAGUGAGCACUGACAGCAGCACACAGAAUUAAACUGUCCUUGUGUGCAAGCAGGGCUCUCUACAUCUCCUGUGGCCUGUGUGGGUCAGGGCCAGGACAAGCCUCUGGGAGCCCAGAUAAGCUCUCUGUGGCUCUCCCCUCUCUGCUGAGCCUGAACAAGAGAGAACGGGGAAAAUGAUAUCAACAGGAAGAACAUAAAAUAAGAAUGACCACACGGGGUCAGCU